CCCGCGCCGCCUGAGGGGGCACAAAAUGGCGGCCGGGGGUGGGGGUGUUGUCAUGUCGCGAUGUCGCCUGUCGCCACAACGCGUUGCGAAUUGGGGCUGCCCGGCGAUAAUGCGGCUCCUGAGAGGGGGUAGGGGUGGUGCGCGGCUCUCAGCAGCGCCUCAGGAGCUGCGGUCGCUUCAGGUCCAUCAGGUUCCUUUAUUCAUUUCCCAGAGGGAUUUGCUGAUCGCUCCCAUCCACAUGAUCGUGUGAGUCAGAGACAGGAGACACAACCACGCCGAGCACGAGCAGCAGAGAUCAGAACUUUUACUAGCACGUGGUUCAGGAGCAAGUUUAAAAUCAAACCUUUUUUUAGUCCCAAACUACCAAACUGUGAAGUUUUGCUGGUAAUAAGUCCUGCAGCCCACGAGUUCUGCAGAUGUUUAAUCGUGCAGCUGUAAUUAGUGUCAGUUCUCGUAAUUAUUCAGGGAUAUCUUUCCUAAAACGCUUGUUUUUUUCCCAGAUCUGCCUCCCCUUGGAAUCGCACAGGACCUAGGACAGGUCUAGGACAAUUUCCCUAGUGUAAAAAGGAGAAAAUGUCAUUUUUUAUUGUUGAAAAAAUACUGUUU